rnacentral:rRNA from 1 species
UACGGAGGGUGCAAGCGUUAUCCGGAUUCACUGGGUUUAAAGGGUGCGUAGGCGGGCAGGUAAGUCCGUGGUGAAAUCCCCAAGCUUAACUUGGGAACUGCCAUGGAUACUAUUUGUCUUGAAUAUUGUGGAGGUAAGCGGAAUAUGUCAUGUAGCGGUGAAAUGCUUAGAUAUGACAUAGAAACACCAAUUGCGAAGGCAGCUUACUACACAGUUAUUGACGCUGAGGCACGAAAGCGUGGGGAUCAAACAGG